rnacentral:rRNA from 1 species
CCUACGGGGGGCAGCAGUGGGGAAUAUUGCACAAUGGGGGAAACCCUGAUGCAGCGACGCCGCGUGAGCGAUGAAGUAUUUCGGUAUGUAAAGCUCUAUCAGCAGGGACGAAGAUGACGGUACCUGACUAAGAAGCCCCGGCUAAAUACGUGCCAGCAGCAGCGGGAAUACGUAGGGGGCAAGCGUUAUCCGGAUUUACUGGGUGUAAAGGGCGCGUAGACGGCGAUGCAAGCCAGAUGUGAAAGCCCGGGGCUCAACCCCGGGACGGCAUUUGGAACUGUGUGGCUGGAGUGUCGGAGAGGCAGGCGGAAUUCCUGGUGUAGCGGUGAAAUGCGUAGAUAUUAGGAGGAACACCAGUGGCGAAGGCGGCCUGCUGGACGAUAACUGACGUUGAGGCUCGAAAGCGUGGGGAGCAAACAGGAUUAGAUACCCUGGUAGUC